rnacentral:lncRNA from 10 species
CCAAGUGGGAGGCCCCUUGGGGACACCGAGGACCAGGUCCGCUACUGCUCCUCCCCCAGGAGGUCCCCUAGGGGCUACAUUGGCUGGCAGGGGCUGAGCAGCGGUGAGCCUGGCUGGCUUCGACCCGGGGCGACUCCGGGCAUCCGGGACAGCUUCUCCUCGCUGCCACCUCGGCCAGUCAGACCCCGAGACACCUGUCACUACCCCCUCAGCCUUCCCAAGCCAGGAGCCUGGGAGUCCGGCUCUGGCCUACCUCCGGCAGCGCUCCUAGGCGCAGCUCCCGGGCUGGCGGCGCCGGGGCCCGCCCCCUAGGGCUGCGGCGCGCGGGGCGGGGGCUG